CCUACGGGAGGCAGCAGUGGGGAAUAUUGGACAAUGGGCGCAAGCCUGAUCCAGCCAUGCCGCGUGUGUGAAGAAGGUCUUCGGAUUGUAAAGCACUUUAAGUUGGGAGGAAGGGUUGUAGCCUAAUACGCUGUAACUUUGACGUUACCGACAGAAUAAGCACCGGCUAACUCUGUGCCAGCAGCCGCGGUAAUACAGAGGGUGCAAGCGUUAAUCGGAAUUACUGGGCGUAAAGCGCGCGUAGGUGGUUCAGUAAGAUGGGUGUGAAAUCCCCGGGCUCAACCUGGGAACUGCUUUCAUAACUGCUGAACUAGAGUACGGUAGAGGGUAGUGGAAUUUCCUGUGUAGCGGUGAAAUGCGUAGAUAUAGGAAGGAACACCAGUGGCGAAGGCGACUACCUGGACUGAUACUGACACUGAGGUGCGAAAGCGUGGGGAGCAAACAGGAUUAGAUACCCCUGUAGUC
rnacentral:rRNA from 1 species